rnacentral:rRNA from 1 species
UAGGGAAUCUUCGGCAAUGGGGGGAACCCUGACCGAGCAACGCCGCGUGAGUGAAGAAGGUUUUCGGAUCGUAAAGCUCUGUUGUUAAGGAAGAACGAGUGUGAGAAUGGAAAGUUCAUACUGUGACGGUACUUAACCAGAAAGGGACGGCUAACUACGUGCCAGCAGCCGCGGUAAUACGUAGGUCCCGAGCGUUGUCCGGAUUUAUUGGGCGUAAAGCGAUCGCAGGCGGUUAGUUAAGUCUGAAGUUAAAGGCAGUGGCUCAACCAUUGUAGGCUUUGGAAACUGUUUAACUUGAGUGCAGAAGGGGAGAGUGGAAUUCCAUGUGUAGCGGUGAAAUGCGUAGAUAUAUGGAGGAACACCGGUGGCGAAAGCGGCUCUCUGGUCUGUAACUGACGCUGAGGCUCGAAAGCGUGGGGAGCGAACAGG